rnacentral:rRNA from 1 species
UACGUAGGUGGCAAGCGAUACUCGGAAUCACUAGGCGUAAAGCGCAGGUAGGCAGUUUGGUAAGUCUUUUGUGAAAGCUCCCGGCUUAACUGGGAGAGGUCAAAGGAAACUACCGGACUAGAGUGUGGUAGGGGAUACUGGAAUUCCUGGUGUAGCGGUGAAAUGCGUAGAUAUCAGGAGGAAUACCUAUGGCGAAAGCAGGUAUCUGGGCCAUCACUGACGCUGAGCUGCGAAAGCUAGGGGAGCAAACAGG